rnacentral:lncRNA from 1 species
CAAGAGAGGCUUUCCUGUAAGUGACAGCAUCUUCAAUUACUCUGGACAGAUCAGGAGCAAUCUUACUGACAGCCAAAAUCAACUUCCUUCCUGCUUUGUCGUCUUUAAUACCUGCCUCUUUGGCCACAUACUGGAAUUUCACAGCAAACGCAGCCAUGUCCUCACCGGGUUUCAGCUCCAUACUGUUCAGUUGCACUUCCAUGUCACCUGCAAUGUGCUUAAAUUCAUCUGACACGGCUUUGAGCAAGAGAUGGAACCGUGCAUCUUCAUCUUCAGUUUGUAAAGCAGCUGUGGUGAGAAUGUGCUGCUUUUCACCUUUGAACCAGGUACAAGCGUACGAAUCAUAAGGAAAAG